rnacentral:rRNA from 1 species
AUUGAACGCUGGCGGCAUGCUUUACACAUGCAAGUCGAACGGCAGCGCGGGCUUCGGCCUGGCGGCGAGUGGCGAACGGGUGAGUAAUGCAUCGGAACGUGCCCAGUAGUGGGGGAUAGCACGGCGAAAGCCGGAUUAAUACCGCAUACGACCUGAGGGUGAAAGCGGGGGACCGAAAGGCCUCGCGCUAUUGGAGCGGCCGAUGUCGGAUUAGCUAGUUGGUGGGGUAAAGGCUUACCAAGGCGACGAUCCGUAGCUGGUCUGAGAGGACGACCAGCCACACGGGGACUGAGACACGGCCCAGACCCCUACGGGAGGCAGCAGUGGGGAAUUUUGGACAAUGGGUGCAACCCUGCUCCAGCCAUGCCGCGUGCGGGAAGAAGGCCUCCGGGUUGUAAACCGCUUUUGUUCGGGAAGAAAUCCUCUGGGCUAAUACCCCGGGGGGAUGACGGUACCGUAAGAAUAAGCACCGGCUAACUACGUG